AGUGAACGCUGGCGGUAGGCCUAACACAUGCAAGUCGAACGGCAGCACAGUAAGAGCUUGCUCUUACGGGUGGCGAGUGGCGGACGGGUGAGGAAUACAUCGGAAUCUACUCUUUCGUGGGGGAUAACGUAGGGAAACUUACGCUAAUACCGCAUACGACCUACGGGUGAAAGCAGGGGAUCUUCGGACCUUGCGCGAUUGAAUGAGCCGAUGUCGGAUUAGCUAGUUGGCGGGGUAAAGGCCCACCAAGGCGACGAUCCGUAGCUGGUCUGAGAGGAUGAUCGGCCACACUGGAACUGAGACACGGUCCAGACUCCUACGGGAGGCCGCAGUGGGGAAUAUUGGACAAUGGGCGCAAGCCUGAUCCAGCCAUAGCGCGUGGGUGAAGAAGGCCUUCGGGUUGUAAAGCCCUUUUGUUGGGAAAGAAAAGCAGCAGGUUAAUACCCCGCUGUUCUGACGGUACCCAAAGAAUAAGCACCGGCUAACUUCGUG
rnacentral:rRNA from 1 species